rnacentral:sRNA from 1 species
AUUUUUUUCUGUUCGUUUGUUUAUAUACCUCCUGUUUCCUUCUGGUAUUAAUAGGUUUCUGACAGUCAGACUUGUCCACAGGAACUCAACUGGCAAGGCUGCUUUUUUGUGCUAAAACUGGGGAGCUAGUGGGCACCAUGAAGAUCUUCUGCAGUCGGGCCAAUCCGACCACGGGGUCUGUGGAGUGGCUGGAGGAGGAUGAACACUAUGAUUUCCACCAGGAGAUUGCAAGGUCAUCCUAUGCAGAUAUGCUACAUGACAAAGACAGAAAUGUAAAAUACUACCAAGGUAUCCGGGCUGCUGUGAGCAGGGUGAAGGACAGAGGACAGAAGGCCUUGGUUCUCGACAUUGGCACUGGCACGGGACUCUUGUCAAUGAUGGCGGUCACAGCAGGCGCCGACUUCUGCUAUGCCAUCGAGAGGGUGACAUGCCAUGCCGUGCCAACAUCCUGGUCACAGAGUUGUUUGACACAGAGCUGAUCGGGGA